rnacentral:lncRNA from 1 species
UAUCUAGUGGAAGAGGUAGUAAUCCAUGUGCUUAGCGAGACUUCUCCGACGGUGUUGUGGUUAAAACUCGAGGAGUUGUACAUGGCGAAAUCUCUCAAACACUCUUUUCCUCUGGUGGUAGUUUUACUAGCUGCGGAUAAUUGAGGGACAGAGCGUGCAGGAGCAUCUCAGCCACUUCCAAAAGAUCCUCACUGACCUCCUCAGCGUUGGUGAGAAUGUUGAAGAGAAGACCAGGGUGCUGGUUUUGCUAUCGUCACUUCCACCUUCGUAUGAGUCAUUGGUGACUGCUCUUCUAAUGGGAAAAAGCACCAUCA